rnacentral:rRNA from 1 species
GACGGAGGAUGCAAGUGUUAUCCGGAAUCACUGGGCGUAAAGCGUCUGUAGGUGGUCAAAUAAGUCAACUGUUAAAUCUUGAGGCUCAACCUCAAAAUCGCAGUCGAAACUAUUAGACUAGAGUAUAGUAGGGGUAAAGGGAAUUUCCAGUGGAGCGGUGAAAUGUGUAGAGAUUGGAAAGAACACCGAUGGCGAAGGCACUUUACUGGGCUAUUACUAACACUCAGAGACGAAAGCUAGGGUAGCAAAUGGG